rnacentral:rRNA from 1 species
GGGGAAUAUUGCACAAUGGGGGAAACCCUGAUGCAGCGACGCCGCGUGAGUGAAGAAGUAUCUCGGUAUGUAAAGCUCUAUCAGCAGGGAAGAAAAUGACGGUACCUGACUAAGAAGCCCCGGCUAACUACGUGCCAGCAGCCGCGGUAAAACGUAGGUCACAAGCGUUGUCCGGAAUUACUGGGUGUAAAGGGAGCGCAGGCGGGAAGACAAGUUGGAAGUGAAAUCUAUGGGCUCAACCCAUAAACUGCUUUCAAAACUGUUUUUCUUGAGUAGUGCAGAGGUAGGCGGAAUUCCCGGUGUAGCGGUGGAAUGCGUAGAUAUCGGGAGGAACACCAGUGGCGAAGGCGGCCUACUGGGCACCAACUGACGCUGAGGCUCGAAAGUGUGGGUAGCAAACAGGAUUAGAUACCCUGGUAGUCCACACCGUAAACGAUGAUUACUAGGUGUUGGAGGAUUGACCCCUUCAGUGCCGCAGUUAACACAAUAAGUAAUCCACCUGGGGAGUACGACCGCAAGGUUGAAACUCAAAGGAAUUGACGGGGGCCCGCACAAGCAGUGGAGUAUGUGGUUUAAUUCGACGCAACGCGAAGAACCUUACCAAGUCUUGACAUCCCUUGACGAUGCUGGAAACAGUAUUUCUCUUCGGAGCAAGGAGACAGGUGGUGCAUGGUUGUCGUCAGCUCGUGUCGUGAGAUGUUGGGUUAAGUCCCGCAACGAGCGCAACCCUUAUGGUCAGUUACUACGCAAGAGGACUCUGGCCAGACUGCCGUUGACAAAACGGAGGAAGGUGGGGAUGACGUCAAAUCAUCAUGCCCUUUAUGACUUGGGCUACACACGUACUACAAUGGCGUUAAACAAAGAGAAGCAAGACCGCGAGGUGGAGCAAAACUCAGAAACAACGUCCCAGUUCGGACUGCAGGCUGCAACUCGCCUGCACGAAGUCGGAAUUGCUAGUAAUCGUGGAUCAGCAUGCCACGGUGAAUACGUUCCCG